rnacentral:rRNA from 1 species
AGACCCGAAACCCGGUGAUCUAGCCAUGGGCAGGUUGAAGGUUGGGUAACACUAACUGGAGGACCGAACCGACUAAUGUUGAAAAAUUAGCGGAUGACCUGUGGCUGGGGGUGAAAGGCCAAUCAAACCGGGAGAUAGCUGGUUCUCCCCGAAAGCUAUUUAGGUAGCGCCUCGUGAAUUCAUCUCCGGGGGUAGAGCACUGUUUCGGCUAGGGGGCCAUCCCGGCUUACCAACCCGAUGCAAACUGCGAAUACCGGAGAAUGUUAUCACGGGAGACACACGGCGGGUGCUAACGUCCGUCGUGAAGAGGGAAACAACCCAGACCGCCAGCUAAGGUCCCAAAGUCAUGGUUAAGUGGGAAACGAUGUGGGAAGGCCCAGACAGCCAGGAUGUUGGCUUAGAAGCAGCCAUCAUUUAAAGAAAGCGUAAUAGCUCACUGGUCGAGUCGGCCUGCGCGGAAGAUGUAACGGGGCUAAACCAUGCACCGAAGCUGCGGCAGCGAACGUAUCACUUAAAGCGAUUCAGCGGGUUACGAUUGACGGAGCGAAGCGACGUCAAAGCGUAUACAAAGUCGAGUCGGUUUAAGGAUACGUUCGUUGGGUAGGGGAGCGUUCUGUAAGCCUGCGAAGGUGGCCUGUGAGGGUUGCUGGAGGUAUCAGAAGUGC